ensembl:snRNA U1 U1 spliceosomal RNA
AUACUUACCUGGCAAGGGAGACACCGUGAUCACGAAGGCGGUUCACCCAGGGCGAGGCUCAGCCAUUGCACUCCGGCUGUGCUGACCCCUGCGAAUGUGGAAAGUGGAAAUCUCGAUUGCAUAAUUUCUGGUAGUGGGGGACUGCGUUCGCGCUCUCCCCUG